CCAAAGGUAGUGAGUGCGGUUAUCCGAGGGCGCUUGAUCUCCUGUGCCGGGAAAGACUCGGAGCAGCGGGCCCGGCGGGCUCAGCAGUUUGGCGGCGCUCGCUGAGCGGAGAGGGACAUGCGGAGAAGAUGCGCUCGCCGGCUAGCGCCCGGAGGAGGCCCCCCGCGCGCCCCGCUUCCUCACCUCUCUCUCCUCCAACGCUGGAACCUGCGCUGGGGCGGGAGGCCGGCGCCCCGGCCCUGGGAACCACCGGCAGGAUGGGCGCGGCCGCGAGCACAAGGCCUGCUGGGGUCCGUGGGCACUCCGGGGGCGUGGGAGAACGGCGGGCGGAAGGCGGGAACCCAGAGCGCUGCUCGGGAGAAAGUCCACGAGUCCCGGCGCACUCCAGCGGCCGGCCCCGCUGCCUGCCGGUCCGCCGCUCCAGAGCGGAGACUUCCGACGCAGGCGUGUCACAGUGGGGGGCUGCGCCCAAGCCGCGAUGCUUGGCUCACAACGGCUAGGGGUCUCAAGGGUGCCCCGCUUCCUUCCAGAAGGCCAGAGUGAACCGCCCACCCCACGUCUCCCUCCCACCCCCACACUUCGGACGGGAGCCACUCGCUCAAAUAAGGGUCCUGCUGCUCCAAGCAGGGAGGUGGGGUCUGGACUUGUCUCCGGCUCAGUGGGCCUGCGGAGUCGGCAGGCUCUCGGUACUGCCUGGAGCCACGGCCGAGAGAAAUUUAUUUCUGGAGACUGGGAAGUCCAAGAUCAAAGUGCUGGCAGAUCCAGUGUCUGAUGCAGAUUUGGGCUGUGCCUUUGCUCCCUGGACCACCUCGACAAGUAAGCAUUCCCUGGGUUGGCUUCCCUCCCUUACCCGCCAUGGCAAGGAGGCAAGGAGAAGGCCAAGUCAGGCAGCGGGUUUCAUUCAGUCCUGCAGACUUCGAGUGGAGUUGCUCUCAUCAGGUGGCCCCUCCGGACAGCUGUGUGUGCCGUGGCUAACCAGGAACUUAGGAAGGUUGAAAGCUGCCAGUGUGUUGCAGGGUGCAAUGGUGCAAAAGGCAGCACCAUCCACUCACUACCAGGCCACGUGAGAGUUUUACGUUGCAUUUUCACAUCAGGACUGCCUGUAGGAUAACACCCAGUGGGUUUCUAUUGAAUACUGGAGAACAUUACCACAAUGCUUGUCCUUCCUUCUUUCUUUAAACAAACAUUCCAUUGGUAUUCAUUUGUGGACCAACUCACAAAUCUCCUACUCAAAACUUCUUCUCCUCUGCCCUUAAUGAUUGAAGUUCCCUAGAACUUGACGAUGAGGGGAGAGGAGAAAUUGAGAACGCUUUUUCAGAUGCCAAUAUUCCCUUUAAAGGGCUGGGUCCUUCAAACCUCCAUUUAUUUUGCCAGCAUCCCCUCCUGGCUAAGGUUAACCAAGAAAAAGAGCAAGAGUUGAUCCGCUCCUCCUUUUCAACUGACUUACAGCAAGUUUUCCAACUGGGCCCUGAGGAUUCUCGCUGGGGCCCAGAGGAGACAGCAGGCAGGGUUCGACUCUAGCUCCCCUCAACCAGGGCAACCUUGUGUCCACCUGUUUCAUGUAGUGAGUUUUGGGGAUGAUUUCAUUGAAGAAAGGCUUUCCCUUCCUUAAAAUUAAAAAGUUUGAAAACUGUAGCAGUUUUCACCUCUUUUAACAUAUUUGCUGAGCAUCUUCUAUGUACCAGGCACUGUUCUAGGUAUUGGAGAUAUAUCAAAGCAGCACUUCGCUCCCAGGUCCUCCCUUAUAUAUGGUGGCAGCUUUUCCCCACACAUUCUUGUCCCGGCCUCCCAGGCCAACUAGAGGGCAAGGACUAGUGUCUUAUGUCUUUCAUUUCCUCCUCAGGGGACAGUAUUUGAACAGACCGUACUGAACACUGCAGUGGACAUUCUGACCCUACAUGGGAGUGUGCAGAGGGACAAGAGGAAACCCAGCUAGAAUAUGUCAUACCUUUGCCCUGGGUUGUUCACAGAGAGAGAGGGCAUGCAGAUAAUUAAGGGUUAACAGUCCUACACUUGGGAAGGACUGGUAACAGCUCUGGGAUGGAAGAAUCCAGUCAAAGCCAGGGAGCUGCA